GAGGACAGUGCUCUACCACAGAGCCUCAUAGCAAAUGGAAAAACCCAAGUAAGAGUUAGACCCACAGGUACAAUAGGAAUUAUGAGUGCGAUCCAAAUGCAGAAUCAUUAAACUGCAUUGGGCUCACUAAUUGACUCCCCCACAUUAGCAGUGAGCAGCCCUCUGGCCAAGUGGGGACUCAUUCAAUAGCCUUUAUCUUUCUAUCUCAUUCAGUCAAUUCAUUAAAGCCUGUUGAUCUCCCAGGGCGCCUUCCGAUGAGUUGCACUGUUUUGUUUCUUGUGCUCCUUGGCUCAUAGAUCUCUUUCACAAUGUCCCUGGUUUCUAAAUGCUCCCAAGCACCAGCUGAGCUUGCGUUCCCAGACAGAGCCAGCAGGCGGUAGCAACACUUCAGGGAAGGCCCCAGCCAGUCACGCACCCCCCCCCCCCCGCCCCGCCCGCCCCGGCCAGUCCAGUCCUGAGCUGGAGAGAAGGUGGAGGGUGGGCGCUAAUAUUUUUCCUCCUUGGACUGCUCAGCCCUAGCUCCAGGCACCACCUGAGCGCACUUUCCACUGCCUCUCAUCAUCCAGGAGUGUGUGUGUGUGGGGGGGAGGGGUCCCUUGCAGGGCGGGCUGGAAGGAGGAACCCGGAGGUACAGGGACUUGCCAAAGCCAGCUAGACCAGGCACAUGGGGACCUCCCCUUUCCAGGCUGGGUUCCCUUCCCUUGAGCAGGGUGGAGGGAGGGAGGUUCCAGUCAGAAGCCCCAGCGCUGACCCAGAUCCAGGCUGGAGCAGGCAGGGGAGUCUGAGUGCUGCGCAGGGACGCUUUACGACCCUGCGCCCGACUCUGGGGCUGCCUGACCUCCCCGCACCCGGCCCACACCCCAAGAUUUGUUGGUCUCGCCCCCAUCGCUUUUCUUUCUUCUUCUUUUCCUCAGUUCACGCCCACCUUAGAGCAAACCUGAGCAGGAGUCCCACUGCUUCAGUUCCCGGAGUUAGAGCCCAGAAGGUGGGGAGGCGCGGGCUGUGCGUCUGGCUCUGCCCGCCAGGCCAGGACAGCGGCAGAGCCCGAGGCCCUGGGCCGGGGCCAACCUGGGCCAUGCGCCUCUGCCCCGGCGGCGGCUUGCGGCCUCGGCGCGUCCCUCCAGGCCAGCACCCAGGGAGCCGCCCCCNNNNNNNNNNNNNNNNNNNNNNNNNNNNNNNNNNNNNNNNNNNNNNNNNNNNNNNNNNNNCUCACUCCAGAGCUGCUCCUGAGCUGCAGGCAGGAGACCCAGGACCCAGCUCUGCGACUGGCCUCGCAGGAUCCCCGGCGCCAACCCCCAACCCGUGUCCACCAGGAAUCUUAGAGUCCCCGCACCGAGCAGACGCGUGCCGCAGCCAAGCAGGAUCCCCGGACCCAAGAGGACACGCGGAGCCCCCGCGAGCUCUGGGAGUCGCAGCUCCACCGCAGACCUCCAGGGGCUCAGACCGCGGAGCUUUAGGCCUGUGGGAAGGUAUCUGCUAG
rnacentral:lncRNA from 1 species